ensembl:rRNA 5S_rRNA 5S ribosomal RNA
GCCAGCAGCAAAACCACCUGCAGUUCAGACUAUGUAAUCCACCUGAAGCCAAACAGGUUUGAGCCUGGCCAGUACUUCGAUGGGAGACCAACUAAGAAAGCUGGGUUGCUACUGGAA